UACGUAGGGUGCGAGCGUUAGUCGGAAUUACUGGGCGUAAAGCGUGCGCAGGCGGUCUUGCAAGACAGAUGUGAAAGCCCCGGGCUUAACCUGGGAACUGCAUUUGUGACUGCAAGGCUGGAGUGCGGCAGAGGGGGAUGGAAUUCCGCGUGUAGCAGUGAAAUGCGUAGAUAUGCGGAGGAACACCGAUGGCGAAGGCAAUCCCCUGGGCCUGCACUGACGCUCAUGCACGAAAGCGUGGGGAGCAAACAGG
rnacentral:rRNA from 1 species